UACGUAGGGUGCAAGCGUUAAUCGGAAUUACUGGGCGUAAAGCGUGCGCAGGCGGUGAUGUAAGACAGGUGUGAAAUCCCCGGGCUUAACCUGGGAACUGCAUUUGUGACUGCAUCGCUGGAGUACGGCAGAGGGGGAUGGAAUUCCGCGUGUAGCAGUGAAAUGCGUAGAUAUGCGGAGGAACACCGAUGGCGAAGGCAAUCCCCUGGGCCUGUACUGACGCUCAUGCACGAAAGCGUGGGGAGCAAACAGG
rnacentral:rRNA from 1 species